UAACGCGUGAGAAUCUGCCUUCAGGUUGGGGACAACAGUUGGAAACGGCUGCUAAUACCCAAUGUGCCGAGAGGUGAAAGCUUUAGUGCCUGAAGAUGAGCUCGCGUCUGAUUAGCUAGCUGGUGGGGUAAAGGCCUACCAAGGCGACGAUCAGUAGCUGGUCUGAGAGGAUGAUCAGCCACACUGGGACUGAGACACGGCCCAG
rnacentral:rRNA from 1 species